GCUGACACAUCCCUGCCAAUCUCCGGCAGACCCUCCCUCCCAGACCCUCCCACCUCCUGGACAGCAUCCAUGUUGAAGCUGCCUGGAUGGAUGCUGUCCAGGAAGUUGGAGGGUCUGGGAGGGAGGGUCUGCCGGAGAUUGGCAGGGACAUGUCAG